UCCCUGGUGGUCCAUUGGGUAGGACUUAGCGCUUUCAUUGCCCAGGGCCUAGGUUCAACCCCUGGUUGGGGAA
rnacentral:tRNA from 1 species